GAUGAACGCUGGCGGCGUGCCUAAUACAUGCAAGUCGAGCGAACGGACGAGAAGCUUGCUUCUCUGAUGUUAGCGGCGGACGGGUGAGUAACACGUGGAUAACCUACCUAUAAGACUGGGAUAACUUCGGGAAACCGGAGCUAAUACCGGAUAAUAUUUUGAACCGCAUGGUUCAAAAGUGAAAGACGGUCUUGCUGUCACUUAUAGAUGGAUCCGCGCUGCAUUAGCUAGUUGGUAAGGUAACGGCUUACCAAGGCAACGAUGCAUAGCCGACCUGAGAGGGUGAUCGGCCACACUGGAACUGAGACACGGUCCAGACUCCUACGGGAGGCAGCAGUAGGGAAUCUUCCGCAAUGGGCGAAAGCCUGACGGAGCAACGACGCGUGAGUGAUGAAGGUCUUCGGAUCGUAAAACUCUGUUAUUAGGGAAGAACAUAUGUGUAAGUAACUGUGCAAAUCUUGACGGUACCUAAUCAGAAAGACACGGCUAACUACGUG
rnacentral:rRNA from 1 species